CUGGCUGUGGGUAUGCCCGCUGGGACUUCUUGCUCCCUAUCUCUUGUCACUGCUUCUAUUUCCCAUAGCAGCUGAGCUGCCUGAGCCCUGUGCUGGCACAAGGCAGCCACGCAGCGAUCUGGGCUGUGAAUGGUUCACCCAGAUGAGCAGCUGGAGGCACAGCAAUACCUAGAAAUUGCAGCACCUGCAUCUGGAAACGGGUGAACGUACACCUAGACAUAGAUUCACCUACACCUACGGAUGAGUGUACUUACAUCUAAACAUAGAUUCACCUACACGUGGGAGAACCUGCACCUGGAUGUAGGUGAACAUAUACCUAGACGUAGAUGAACCCACACCUAGAGAUGGGUGUGCCUGCAGCAGGGCACUGAAACACUGCCUGAGCAGAGGCACCGGAGGAGCAGAACUGCCGGGUCCGGCAGGAAACGUGGAGCAGGAAACAUCCGACAGCCAGCACAGCAACAGGGAGAGCAGGCAGAGCUCCCAGGAAGUUGUGCAAAGCAGCUUCGGAGAGGAAACGCUCUCAGAAGGCACUUUCUGUAAGACUUGGCAACGCAGACACGUGAAAAGGAAGAGGAAGAAACAACGAACUGCAUAGGAAGGGGAAGAACAAAAAAGGAAGAGGUCCUACAGAUUCCAGCCUGAGGAAGGGAAAGCUGCUGAAACACAGCAUUCCGUGAAAAACUCGGUUACAGGGGAAAGCAUCGGAGCGCGGUCAGAAAGCUGAGCUGCAUCCUCCACAGAAAUCGAAAGGAAGCAAUUUUUUUCACGUGACUCAGUGGUCACGAUGGAGCGCAUCCAAGGGCUGCAGGUUGGGAGAGCCCGCCUUCACCUGCCAGAAAACGGCUUACAGAACGACGCCAAAAGGCUUUUCAUCUCAUUUAGCUGAAGGCAUCGCCGCGCUGGGAAGGCUGCUAGCUGGGGGAACCCAGAACGGUACGAGUAGAUGGCAGCACAUGCAUCAUCCAGAACGAGAACAGAUGGUAGCCACUGCUAGAAAGGGUCAAAUGCUGUUUUUCUGUUUUCCCAGCCUUUAAUGGUUGUUUUCACAAUAAUUUACAAAUAUGCUGUUACGCACGCUGUAUGUCCACUUAGUAAUGAAAAAUCUAAAUUAAUUCAACUUGCUAUAUUAAAAAAAAAAAAACACCA